rnacentral:rRNA from 1 species
UACGUAGGGUGCGAGCGUUGUCCGGAAUUAUUGGGCGUAAAGGGCUCGUAGGCGGUUUGUCGCGUCGGGAGUGAAAAUCCAGGGCUUAACUCUGGACUGGCUUCCGAUACGGGCAGACUAGAGGUAUGCAGGGGAGAACGGAAUUCCUGGUGUAGCGGUGAAAUGCGCAGAUAUCAGGAGGAACACCGGUGGCGAAGGCGGUUCUCUGGGCAUUACCUGACGCUAAGGAGCGAAAGUGUGGGGAGCGAACAGG